UACGUAGGGGGCAAGCGUUGUCCGGAAUCAUUGGGCGUAAAGCGCGUGUAGGCGGCUUGUCACGUCGGGUGUGAAAGCCCGGGGCUUAACCCCGGGUCUGCAUUCGAUACGGGCUAGCUAGAGUGUGGUAGGGGAGAUCGGAAUUCCUGGUGUAGCGGUGAAAUGCGCAGAUAUCAGGAGGAACACCGGUGGCGAAGGCGGAUCUCUGGGCCAUUACUGACGCUGAGGAGCGAAAGCGUGGGGAGCGAACAGG
rnacentral:rRNA from 1 species